GAUGAACGCUGGCGGCGUGCCUAAUACAUGCCAGUCGAGCGAACGGACGAGAAGCUUGCUUCUCUGAUGUUAGCGGCGGACGGGUGAGUAACACGUGGAUAACCUACCUAUAAGACUGGGAUAACUUCGGGAAACCGUAGCUAAUACCGGAUAAUAUUUUGAACCGCAUGGUUCAAAAGUGAAAGACGGUCUUGCUGUCACUUAUAGAUGGAUCCGCGCUGCAUUAGCUAGUUGGUAAGGUAACGGCUUACCAAGGCAACGAUGCAUAGCCGACCUGAGAGGGCGAUCGGCCACACUGGAACUGAGACACGGUCCAGACUCCUACGGGAGGCAGCAGUAGGGAAUCUUCCGCAAUGGGCGAAAGCCUGACGGAGCAACGCCGCGUGAGUGAUGAAGGUCUUCGGAUCGUAAAACUCUGUUAUUAGGGAAGAACAUAUGUGUAAGUAACUGUGCACAUCUUGACGGUACCUAAUCAGAAAGCCACGGCUAACUACGUG
rnacentral:rRNA from 1 species